AGGCAGUGAUGAUAGCUGCGCUGAAAUGAAGAUUCGAGUUCUUCAAGAUAAUCUGUUUAAUGGAUUACACCAUAGCGCUUCUGAGCUU